AUGGAUGGACUGAGGUGGUUUUCUUUCAAACCCUUUUAAUUAGAUGUUUUGUUGUUUUGUUUUAAGUUUAGCUAAAAGAAAAACUGAACUGGUGUGUUGAUUUAAUCAAUACAUUUGAUGCUGAUGUUAGAAGCUGCCUUGAACACAUAAAAAUGGAGGCCUAUAAAGAUGGUGGCUUAAGGCCUGAACUUAUCUGACAUUCGUGGGCAGCACUUCCAGGUCAAAGUUUUCUCUCUUGAUAAAAUGGACUACUAUUUAUAUAAAGGUCCUUUUGUAGGCCACAACUUCAAUCCUACUGAUGCUAUUUUGGCACUUUUGGAGAAACAAAGGAAGUUGGUUGCAGUCGCAAAGCCAAUGGGGGGCAUGUGCAGAAGAGGGAAAGAGAGAAGAAGGGUGAAAAUUACCAAAGAAAUCACCUUCAGGAAGAGGAAGGAAGGAUUUCUCCAGCAUACCUGAUGAUGGUUUUUAUUUUUAUUGGUUCUAUUUUAAUUAUGUUUUAAAGUAUUUAAUUGGUUUGUGUAA